GAUGGCGGGAAGGGAGACAGGCGCGCGCGGGAGGGAAGUGGACGUGGACAGCUCUACCCUGAGUGGCUCUCUGCUUCCUGCUGCCAUGUGCCUCUUGCCAUGCCACCCUAUCUUGAAGCCAGCGAACUAUGGACUGAAACCUGAAACCUGUACAAACUCUGCCCAUAAUGUAGGAUAUAAAACCAACAGAAAGGAGCCGCUAAGGUCCCUCGCUUGGUUGCUUUGCUACCUUCUGUCUGCCAUGAGCUGUUUCUCCUCUGCGAUGCCCUUCUGCCAUGACAC